AAUCCGUUUCCCGUGAAGGCUGAGCUGUGAUGGCGAGCGAAUUAUAGUAGCGAAGUUCCUGAUUCCACACUGCCAAGAAAAGCCUCUAGCGAGGUGAGAGGUGCCCGUACCGCAAACCGACACAGGGAGGCGAGGAGAGAAUCCUAAGGUGAUCGAGAGAACUCUCGUUAAGGAACUCGGCAAAAUGACCCCGUAACUUCGGGAGAAGGGGUGCUCUGUUAGGGUGCAAGCCCGAGAGAGCCGCAGUGAAUAGGCCCAGGCGACUGUUUAGCAAAAACACAGGUCUCUGCGAAGCCGUAAGGCGAAGUAUAGGGGCUGACG
rnacentral:rRNA from 1 species